GCAACAGCAAGUGAUGCAAUAAUUGCUGCCCUGGGGGAGGAUGAUCAUAGAACACCUGGUCCCAUAACUACGGUGCUGGUCUGGGCCACCUCUACACACAGGUCAGCUGAGUCCUUCAUCUGAAAAGCACUGUGCGUGUCAGGAGUACUGACAAGACCAGUAAACUUGAGCCUCGGCCUGCGACUCUCUCCCGUGCCGCUGCUGCUCAGCACAGGUGCUCUGACUUCUUUGAUGCUGCAGAAAACAAGAAUAUGACCCUGGAAGAGUUGGUCUUGGUGUGAUAACUUUCAUGGAUGUUUUCUUCGUCAUCCUCAUGAGCUGGGCAAGUGGCUACAUGGUGAUCAUGCUCUACCGACACCAUAAACAAGUGCAGCACAUCCGCA